CUCGGCGACCGUAGCGCGGUGGUCCCACCUGACCCCAUGCCGAACUCAGAAGUGAAACGCCGUAGCGCCGAUGGUAGUGUGGGGUCUCCCCAUGCGAGAGUAGGGAACUGCCAGGC
rnacentral:rRNA from 1 species